rnacentral:lncRNA from 1 species
AUGGCAAGAUCAACUGGCCUCGCGCGUUGCCGUAUUACAGGAGCGGAGCUCAUUUGCCUCGACUUGAUCUGAGAUAGAGUCUCAGUGAUAUGGACGAAGCCAUCUCACAUGGCCAGCGUGCCAUGACUCUUACCGCCACCAGAGAUCAUUAACGCCUCUGGAUCGAUAGGAUUCUGGCUUGGGUCAAAGUCAGGCCCGCGCAGCUGUUUGACCACCUCAGAAUAAGACGUCAUCUUGUUGUAGGCGGACAGGCUUGUGUACGCCGAUGGCCCGUCCCCCUCAGAAUAUGCCUUC